CACGUAGGGUGCGAGCGUUGUCCGGAAUUAUUGGGCGUAAAGAGCUCGUAGGCGGUGUGUCGCGUCGGCCGUGAAAACCUGCAGCUUAACUGUGGGCGUGCGGUCGAUACGGGCAUCACUGGAGUUCGGCAGGGGAGACUGGAAUUCCUGGUGUAGCGGUGAAAUGCGCAGAUAUCAGGAGGAACACCGGUGGCGAAGGCGGGUCUCUGGGCCGAUACUGACGCUGAGACGCGAAAGCGUGGGGAGCAAACAGG
rnacentral:rRNA from 1 species